UUUAACAAGGUGAGAGAGAAACAGUAUGUCUAUUCUCAGUAUGUCCUAUGCAUCUAAUGAAUUGACAUAAAACAUCUUUGAAUCUUUGAAUCUGGCGUUUCAUGUACUGGUUUAGAUCU